GUUCAACCCAAGCUAUUUAAUAAUAGGAUAUAGCUACAAGUACAUCUAUAAAAGUGGAAAAGACAUUUGCCAUGAUGUAUGAUAAAUAUGCAAGAGAUCAGUAAUGCCAUUAACUUGUCUGUCAUUGUAAGGAUGGGCAGACCAAUUGUUGAUCACCAAAUUAGCAAGGGCCAUAUCCCAAUGGCACAAGAUGCAUCCGCCUCCAGAGUUUUCUCACACAUGCAGGGCCGUGACCUUCAGAAUCAGGCAGCUGUACCUAUACGAAAGCAUUUUUGAAGGUGAAAUUCUCUGAGGAAUAAUUCUAACACCAC